rnacentral:rRNA from 1 species
CCUACGGGAGGCAGCAGUGGGGAAUUUUCCGCAAUGGGCGAAAGCCUGACGGAGCAACGCCGCGUGAGGGAUGAAGGCCUCUGGGCUGUAAACCUCUUUUAUCAAGGAAGAAGAUCUGACGGUACUUGAUGAAUAAGCCACGGCUAAUUCCGUGCCAGCAGCCGCGGUAAUACGGGAGUGGCAAGCGUUAUCCGGAAUUAUUGGGCGUAAAGCGUCCGCAGGCGGUCUUGUAAGUUUGUCGUUAAAGCGUGGAGCUCAACUCCAUUUCGGCGGUGGAAACUACAAGACUAGAGUGUGGUAGGGGCAGAGGGAAUUCCCGGUGUAGCGGUGAAAUGCGUAGAUAUCGGGAAGAACACCAGUGGCGAAGGCGCUCUGCUGGGCCAUAACUGACGCUCAUGGACGAAAGCUAGGGGAGCGAAAGGGAUUAGAUACCCCUGUAGUCCUAGCCGUAAACGAUGAACACUAGGUGUCGGGGGAAUCGACCCCUCGGUGUCGUAGCUAACGCGUUAAGUGUUCCGCCUGGGGAGUACGCACGCAGUGUGAACUCAAAUGAAGUUGACGGNGNGAAGUAGUGCGAAGACGACGACGAGGGAGUUAGG